AUUGAACGCUGGCGGCAUGCCUUACACAUGCAAGUCGAACGGUAACAGGGAGCUUGCUCCGCUGACGAGUGGCGAACGGGUGAGUAAUGCAUCGGAACGUACCAUUGAGUGGGGGAUAACGUAGCGAAAGUUACGCUAAUACCGCAUAUUCUCUCCGGAGGAAAGCAGGGGGAUCGCAAGACCUUGUGCUCUUUGAGCGGCCGAUGUCGGAUUAGCUAGUUGGUGAGGUAAAGGCUCACCAAGGCUACGAUCCGUAGCGGGUCUGAGAGGAUGAUCCGCCACACUGGGACUGAGACACGGCCCAGACUCCUACGGGAGGCAGCAGUGGGGAAUUUUGGACAAUGGGGGGCAACCCUGAUCCAGCCAUGCCGCGUGAGUGAAGAAGGCCUUCGGGUUGUAAACCGCUUUCGGACGGAAAGAAAUCGCGAUGGGCUAAUACCCUGUGUGGAUGACGGUACCGUAAGAAGGAAGC
rnacentral:rRNA from 1 species